GUAAAUAAUUAAGGGCGUAUGGUGGAUGCCUAGGCUCUCAGAGGCGAUGAAGGACGUGAUAAGCUGCGAAAAGCUCCGUUUAGGUGCAAAUAACCUUUGAUGCGGAGAUCUCCGAAUGGGAUAACCCAAUAUGUUGAAGACAUAUUAUACCGUAAGGUAGGCAAACGCAGGGAACUGAAACAUCUAAGUACCUGCAGGAGAAGAAAACAAACGUGAUUCCCCCAGUAGCGGCGAGCGACCGGGGAUAAGCCCAAACCGUUAUUGUUUCGGCAGUAGCGGGGUAGUAGGACUGCGACAUUGAUGAAAUAAAUGAAAUGGAACACCUUGGAAAAUGUGAUCACAGAGGGUGAUAAUCCCGUACAUGCAAGUUUAUGAAUCAUAGCAGACUCCUGAGUAAGUCGGGACACGUGUAAUCCUGACCGAAUCCGCCGGGACCAUCCGGCAAGGCUAAAUACUCCUGAGAGACCGAUAGUGAACCAGUACCGUGAGGGAAAGGUGAAAAGCACUUCGAACAGAAGAGUGAAAUAGUCCCUGAACCCAUACGCCUACAAGCUGUCGGAGCCGCUUCGUGCGGUGACGGCGUGCCUUUUGCAUAAUGAGCCUACGAGUUACUCAUCACCAGCGAGGUUAAGUACUUCAGGUACGUAAGCCGAAGCGAAAGCGAGUCUGAAUAGGGCGUCAAGUUGGUGGUGGUAGACGCGAAACCUUAGUGAUCUACCCAUGGGCAGGGUGAAGGUUUGGUAACACAAACUGGAGGCCCGAACCGGUAAACGUUGAAAAGUUUUCGGAUGACCUGUGGGUAGGGGUGAAAGGCCAAUCAAACUGGGAAAUAGCUCGUACUCUCCGAAAUGCAUUUAGGUGCAGCCUCUGUUGUUUUGUUCUAGAGGUAGAGCUACUGAUUGGAUGCGAGGGCUUCACCGCCUAUCAAAUCCGGCCAAACUCCGAAUGCUAGAACAUGAAGACAGGGAGUGAGCCAGCGGGUGCUAAGGUCCGUUGACGAAAGAGGGAGAACUCAGACCAUCAGCUAAGGUCCCCAAUUAUAUGCUAAGUUGGAAUUAAAACGGGGUGGGACUGCUUAGACAGCUAGGAUGUUGGCUUGGAAGCAGCCAUUCAUUUAAAGAGUGCGUAACAGCUCACUAGUCGAGCGGUCCUGCAUGGAUAAUACGCGGGCAUAAGCAUAUAACCGAAGCUAUGGGAUUGUAGAUGAUACAAUCGGUAGGAGAGCAUUCCAUUCAGCGUAGAAGCAGUAUCGUGAGGUAUUGUGGAGCGGAUGGAAAAGCAAAUGUAGGCAUAAGUAACGAUAAUGCGGGUGAGAACCCCGCACGCCGAAAGAUCAAGGAUUCCCCGGCAAUGUCAAUCAUCCGGGGGUAAGUCGGAUCCUAAGGGUAAGCCGAGUGGCGAUCCCGAUGGCAAACAGGUUAAUAUUCCUGUACUGAUCAUAACUGCGAUGCAGCGACGCAGAGGUGACACUGCUGCGUACUGACGGAAUAGUACGUUGAAACCCGUAUUCUUUGAUACCGGUAGUGAAGCACGCCGGUAGAGAUGAAAGGUGAUAGUACCGCAAUGCUUCGGUUGCGCGGAUAACGCAGGUAAGCUGACUGCCAAGAAAACCUGCUAAGCUUCAGGUAAUGAUCAUCCGUACUGUAAACGGACACACGUGAUCAGGUAGAAAAUACUAAGGCGCUCGAGAGAUUCAUGGUUAAGGAACUAGGCAAAAUGGUCCUGUAACUUCGGGAUAAAGGACGCUCUUGUGAAAGAGCCGCAGAUAAUAGGCCCAGGCGACUGUUUACCAAAAACACAUGGCUAUGCUAAUUCGCAAGAAGAUGUAUAUGGCCUGACACCUGCCCGGUGCCGGAAGGUUAAGAGGAGAGCUCAGAGGUAACUCGAAGGUUUGAAUUGAAGCCCCGGUAAACGGCGGCCGUAACUAUAACGGUCCUAAGGUAGCGAAAUUCCUUGUCGGGU
rnacentral:rRNA from 1 species